AAACGGGGUCUAAUACCGGAUAACACUUUCCCUCUCAUGGGGGAAGGUUAAAAGCUCCGGCGGUGAAGGAUGAGCCCGCGGCCUAUCAGCUAGUUGGUGGGGUAAUGGCCUACCAAGGCGACGACGGGUAGCCGGCCUGAGAGGGCGACCGGCCACACUGGGACUGAGACACGGCCCAGACUCCUACGGGAGGCAGCAGUGGGGAAUAUUGCACAAUGGGCGAAAGCCUGAUGCAGCGACGCCGCGUGAGGGAUGACGGCCUUCGGGUUGUAAACCUCUUUCAGCAGGGAAGAAGCGAAAGUGACGGUACCUGCAGAAGAAGCGCCGGCUAACUACGUGCCAGCAGCCGCGGUAAUACGUAGGGCGCAAGCGUUGUCCGGAAUUAUUGGGCGUAAAGAGCUCGUAGGCGGCUUGUUGCGUCGGUUGUGAAAGCCCGGGGCUUAACCCCGGGUCUGCAGUCGAUACGGGCAGGCUAGAGUGUGGUAGGGGAGAUCGGAAUUCCUGGUGUAGCGGUGAAAUGCGCAGAUAUCAGGAGGAACACCGGUGGCGAAGGCGGAUCUCUGGGCCAUUACUGACGCUGAGGAGCGAAAGCGUGGGGAGCGAACAGGAUUAGAUACCCUGGUAGUCCACGCCGUAAACGUUGGGAACUAGGUGUUGGCGACAUUCCACGUCGUCGGUGCCGCAGCUAACGCAUUAA
rnacentral:rRNA from 1 species